CUAGUAAUCGCGGAUCAGAAUGCCGCGGUGAAUACGUUCCCGGGUCUUGUACACACCGCCCGUCACACCAUGGGAGUCGGGAAUGCCCGAAGCCGGUGGCCCAAUCUUUAAAGAAGGGAGCCGUCGAAGGCAGGCCGGAUGACUGGGGUGAAGUCGUAACAAGGUACC
rnacentral:rRNA from 1 species